CCUAUACUAUUCUAAUGAGCAGAGAGGGUUACGAGUCAGUACUCAAUAUAAUGGAAAUGUUCUUUAAAAAUAAACAACUACCAUUUUUAAACAUAUAAGUAUUAUUUGCACCUAUGGAAAAAUUCAAAUGGCAUAGCUGAUUAUAAAACGAAAAUAAGUCUUCGGCUCAACCCUCUUACCCUUCACGUCCACUUCCAAGAGGUGAACAUUAUAAACAGCUUCUUGUGUAUUCUCCCCAAGAUUACUGGGUUAUUAAUGGAUUAUUGGGUACAGGAUUCUAUGGAGUUUCCUCAAGCUUAUGUUUCCAAGUAAUUUAAUUCUUUAUCAAGUUAUAAAAGUGCCUGUUUGUAUUUUGAUGAGGAUUGAAUUGGAUUUAUGGAUUUAAUUUAGGGUAAAUUGCUGUAUUUACAGUAUUGACUCUUCCUAUUCAAGAAUAUAAUAGGUCUUUGACAGGUUUAUUUAUUUAUUCAUUUUUAUUAUUUAUGUCCUUCAAGAAGUGUUACAGGUUGUUGUUUUAUUUAAUAGCUCACCCCCAUUUUUUUUUGGAGACAGGGUCUCACUCUGUCACCGACGUUGGAGUGUAAUGGCACAAUCAUAGAUCACUGCAGCCUCAAACUGCUGGACUCAUGAGAUCCUCCUGCCUCAGUCUCCAGAGUAGCUGAGAUGACAGGCACACACUCCAUGGUUAAUUUGCCAUUCCUAGGAGAGAUACCAGAUGGAGAUAAAAUUCUGGAGUUUCCAGAGAGUGGUUUAUACUGUCCUGAGGAAGUAGAUGGUGAAAAGAGAAGGGGACUCAACUGGAGAACAUUCCUUUAAAAAUUCUAACAUUUACAGAUGUGGUAAGGGAAGAAGAAACUCAAAAGGAAGCCUGAAGGAGUAACCAGCAAGGCAGACAGAUCCAGGAGAAUAUUAAAUCCCUCCAGCACUCUGAGUCUGGGCUCAUUCAUUCAUAAAAUGGGAAUAAUAUUAUCUGCAUGCAAAAUAUUAAAUGCAGGCAAAAUCCCCAGCACAUAGCAGAUGUUCAAUAUCAUAAUUAACAGCCAGUCCCUCUGCAAGUCGGGAUGAGAUCUUCUGUUGCCCAUGCCCAGGUCUAAGCCCUGUUUUCUCCACUCUUCUUGCUCAUGAUCUCAGGGGCUCUCUGCCUGCCCUCUGCAUUAACUUCCUGUUCCAUCAUCGUUCUCAGAGCCUGCAACCCAUAACUUGGAGACUUCAUUGCUGCCACUGUUACUGCUGCAGUUUCUGCCCUGCUCUUGGCUGCCUGCCC
rnacentral:lncRNA from 13 species